rnacentral:rRNA from 1 species
UACGUAGGGGGCGAGCGUUGUCCGGAAUUAUUGGGCGUAAAGAGCGUGUAGGCGGUUCGGUAAGUCUGCUGUGAAAUCUUGGGGCUCAACCCUGAGCGUGCAGCGGAUACUGCCGGGCUAGAGGGUGGUAGAGGCGAGUGGAAUUCCGAGUGUAGCGGUGAAAUGCGCAGAUAUUCGGAGGAACACCAGUAGCGAAGGCGGCUCGCUGGGCCACACCUGACGCUGAGACGCGAAAGCGUGGGGAGCGAACAGG